UACGUAGGUGGCAAGCGUUGUCCGGAUUUACUGGGCGUAAAGGGCGUGCAGGCGGUCUGUUAAGUUCAGGGUGAAAGCUCCCGGCUCAACUGGGAGAGGUCCUUGGAUACUGGCAGACUUGAGGGAGGUAGAGGAGAGUGGAAUUCCCGGUGUAGUGGUGAUAUGCGUAGAUAUCGGGAGGAACACCAGUGGCGAAGGCGGCUCUCGUGGGCCUUUCCUGACGCUGAGACGCGAAAGCGUGGGGAGCGAACCGG
rnacentral:rRNA from 1 species